GACGAACGCUGGCGGCGUGCUUAACACAUGCAAGUCGAACGGAAAGGCCCUGCUUUUGUGGGGUGCUCGAGUGGCGAACGGGUGAGUAACACGUGAGUAACCUGCCCUUGACUUUGGGAUAACUUCAGGAAACUGGGGCUAAUACCGGAUAGGAGCUCCUGCUGCAUGGUGGGGGUUGGAAAGUUUCGGCGGUUGGGGAUGGACUCGCGGCUUAUCCGCUUGUUGGUGGGGUAGUGGCUUACCAAGGCUUUGACGGGUAGCCGGCCUGAGAGGGUGACCGGCCACAUUGGGACUGAGAUACGGCCCAGACUCGUACGGGAGGCAGCAGUGGGGAAUAUUGCACAAUGGGCGGAAGCCUGAUGCAGCAACGCCGCGUGCGGGAUGACGGCCUUCGGGUUGUAAACCGCUUUCGCAUGUGACGAAGCGUGAGUGACGGUAAUGGGUAAAGAAGCACCGGCUAACUACGUG
rnacentral:rRNA from 1 species